UACGUAGGUGGCAAGCGUUGUCUGGAAUUAUUGGGCGUAAAGCGCGCGCAGGCGGUUCCUUAAGUCUGAUGUGAAAGCCCCCGGCUCAACCGGGGAGGGUCAUUGGAAACUGGGGAACUUGAGUGCAGGAGAGGAAAGCGGAAUUCCACGUGUAGCGGUGAAAUGCGUAGAUAUGUGGAGGAACACCAGUGGCGAAGGCGGCUUUCUGGUCUGUAACUGACGCUGAGGCGCGAAAGCGUGGGGAGCAAACAGG
rnacentral:rRNA from 1 species